UGCAACUCCAACCCUUUGUGAACCACAACCUCCAGUCGUUGCUUCGGCGGGCCCGCCCGCCGGAGGUUCAAACAAACUCAUGUUUUCCGAGUACGUCUUCUGAGCAAACAAGAAAAAAUAAAUCAAAACUUUCAACAACGGAUCUCUUGGCUCUGGCAUCGAUGAAGAACGCAGCGAAAUGCGAUAAGUAAUGUGAAUUGCAGAAUUCAGUGAAUCAUCGAAUCUUUGAACGCACAUUGCGCCCGCCGGUAUUCCGGCGGGCAUGCCUGUCCGAGCGUCAUUUCAACCCUCAAGCCCGCUUCGGCUUGGUGUUGGGGCGCCCGGGGCUCCCAGCGGGCCCCGGGGCCCCCAAGUUCAUCGGCGGGCUCGUCGGAACCCUGAGCGUAGUAGCAAGGCCCUAAGAAGCCGAACCCCCUCGCUCGGCCCGUCCCGGCGUGCACUCCAGCCGCUAAAGAGACCCCAACGGGAACGAUAAAGGUUGACCUCGGAUCAGGUAGGAAUACCCGCUGAACUUAAGCAUAUCAAUAA
rnacentral:rRNA from 1 species